rnacentral:rRNA from 1 species
CGAUGCGUAGCCGACCUGAGAGGGUGAUCGGCCACACUGGGACUGAGACACGGCCCAGACUCCUACGGGAGGCAGCAGUAGGGAAUCUUCCGCAAUGGACGAAAGUCUGACGGAGCAACGCCGCGUGAGUGAUGAAGGUUUUCGGAUCGUAAAACUCUGUUGUUAGGGAAGAACAAGUAUCGGAGUAACUGCCGGUACCUUGACGGUACCUAACCAGAAAGCCACGGCUAACUACGUGCCAGCAGCCGCGGUAAUACGUAGGUGGCAAGCGUUGUCCGGAAUUAUUGGGCGUAAAGCGCGCGCAGGUGGUUCCUUAAGUCUGAUGUGAAAGCCCACGGCUCAACCGUGGAGGGUCAUUGGAAACUGGGGAACUUGAGUGCAGAAGAGGAAAGUGGAAUUCCAAGUGUAGCGGUGAAAUGCGUAGAGAUUUGGAGGAACACCAGUGGCGAAGGCGACUUUCUGGUCUGUAACUGACACUGAGGCGCGAAAGCGUGGGGAGCGAACAGGAUUAGAUACCCUGGUAGUCCACGCCGUAAACGAUGAGUGCUAAGUGUUAGAGGGUUUCCGCCCUUUAGUGCUGCAGCAAACGCAUUAAGCACUCC